UUGUGUAGAAAAACACAUCCAAUACAUCAUUCACCUGAAGGGUCUCAGCUUAAACUACAGUGUGUGUUAAUGUUGAUCACGCUGACACUCUAGCUGAUGAUCAUCAUCCUUUCCUCUAAGUGGUCCAGUGCAGGAGAGUCUGUGAUCAUGAUGAUUCCUGAUUUUGGCUGCAGGACAUGAACCUGCUGUGGUCUCCUGCAAGGUCUCAAGCUUCCAGGUUAUGUGCACGCUGAGUCUACAGCAGGAGAUCAGCAGUUAGUGAAAACCUCAAACCAGCACAUCGGACACCAAGAACCAUGACACAGUUCGUCACAGAGAUCAGACUUGGUCUUCACUCAGAUGUUUGCUGUGAACAUUAACUGUAGCUCUUAACCUGGACCUGCAGGAUGUGAUGAUGUCUCUGUGCUGCUGAUACAGGAUUGUCUGAGAAUGUGUAGGUGUUCCUAAUAAAGUGGACAGUGAGUGUACACACCACAGAUAAACAUGAAACAGAAUGCAGUCAGCAUGAUAAUACACACAUUUCACUUCCUGAUCCAGAGGACACAUCUAGUGGACCUGAAACUGUGGAGGCGGAGCUUAUGACUACGCAAGCAGCUGAUUGGUCACUCGUUAAAACGAUCGUGUGUGUGCCACUUUAAAAUCUGCCAUUUAUUAAAUUGCAACAGUUAUUCUUAUUC